CCUAAAAUUUAACUAAAUCUCAAUAAAUACUGCACAUAAUAAAUUAAAUAAUGUAAAAAAUAGUACAAAAAAUGGGUUUUUUGUUGUUAAAUCACUCUAAAUUUGAUCCGAAAAUUUUGAAAUUUGGCAGGUAGAUUCCUUGCUAACACUUUAUCAAUAUAUUUCCUAAAAUGUAACUAUAUCUCAAUAAACACUGCACAGAAUAAAUUAAAUAAUGUAAAAAAUAGUACAAAAAAUGGGUUUCUUGUUGUUAAAUCACUCUAAAUUUGAUCCGAAAAUUUUGAAAUUUGGCAGGUAGAUUCCUUGAUAAUACUUGCUUUUUUUUAUUACUUUUUUUCUAUUACUUUUUUUUUAUUCCUUUUUUUUUAUUACUUUUCUUUUAUUACUUUUUUUUUAUUAAUUUUUUUUUAUUACUUUUUUUUAUUACUCUUUUUUUAUUACUUUUUUUUUACUUUUUUUUAUUACUUUUUUUUUAUUAC